GUCGGCUCCCGCCCUCGCGUCUUAACCAAGCUGGCAGAGAACUCCGAGUUCCUCGGCUUUCUGGGAAAAUUCUAGGGUUCUUGUUCGCGAUCUUUCCUGCGAAGAGAGAGGAGAGAGGAGAGAGAAGAGAGGAAGAGACGCGUCCCCUGCUUUGGACGGAGCUGCCUUGAUCUUUCCUGCAUACUCUCGUCGGCCCCUCCAUCUUGACCUACUCCAAAUGGGUCCUGAAUAGUUGCCGCCGCCACUGGCAGCUCGGCCUCGAUCUCCCCUUCCUUGCCGCUCUCUGAGGUUGGGUCUUGGUACGAUGGCAAGGAUGUUCUUUUGCAACUGGGAGAGCAGUGUUCCUGUCACGGAACCCCCUCUCUCUAAGUGGCUGCAUAUAUUAAUCCUCCCUAAAGCCUGCAUUGACGAGAGUCUUGUGCAUUGGGCACUUCCACUUUUGUUGGUAGCCAUGGUUGACAACAAAGGUCCUCACUGAUGUUUGUUCUAGGAUGAGACAAAAGCACCUGCUCCCUUAUCGAACUGACUGGGACUUGAUCCAUCUUCUAGCAGGGGUUGGGUCCACAAAUGGACCACUGAGAGAGGCAUCUCCAAAACGUGGUAGCACCUCAAAAAUUCUUUUUGAUGUAAAUCAGAAAGUUGUAGUCCAACUUAUUUUAAGUUUUUUUUACCUUUAACCUUCAAUUUUAGUGGUCAUCUAAAGAUGUGAAUGCAACACUUCCAUUGCUUGUUAGUUUCUGUCAUUCUCCAAAUGAAUAAAUCAAAAUCAUCAGCUACUCAA